UGAACUUAAUUGAGCAAGCAGUGAAUAUCAUUAGAUCUGAGAGAUCUCGAGUUGAGAUAAAUCUUAAGCAUAUGUGGAACCUUAGGCUAAGUCAUAUAUGAGAAGAAAUGAUUAACAAAUUGAAGAAAUAUAGACUUUUGGGCUCAUUGACUGUUAAGUCAUAUCUAGUUUGUGCAUUAUCUCUUUAAGAAAAUAUGACUAAGCUACUCUUAUGGGAUAAGAGAAAAAGAACCAUUGAGAUACUUAUCUUAGUACACAUUUGAUGUGUGUAGCUCAUGCGAUGUGCUAACAAAGAGAUUUGUCUC
rnacentral:lncRNA from 1 species